AAAGGCACGAGUCUGUGAGCAGAAACAUUUCAUGCAGCAUGUUGGUUGGAGCAAAGAGAAAAACAAAAGAAAGAGAAAAAAACAAAACAAAAAACAACAGUCCAAAAUCAGUAAACCAAUAAAGGGUUUGCCAACGACUGAAAGGUUUUGUUUUUUGUUUUUUCCUUAAUCGCCAAACCACACGGUGAGGCUUUGUAGCACCAACCAACUAAGAACUCCAACUCGGCUCGUCCUGGUCUUCCUGUCGUACUUCCUGUCGUGAUUUUAAUUGCUCCUUCUUAGUACCUGUUUUGGGGUGUGGAAUGCCGUCCUGUGCGCCCAACACAGCCGCUUGGAUGCCAUCUGAACCGAAGGUCUCUUCGCCUUGCGGGCCUGGCCCAUAUUUUUUUUCCUGAAUAAGAAAAGGCAAAACAAUAGAUGUCCAGAAAUACUGCUGUAAUGCACCAGAACAAACAUUUGUCAGAAUCUGGGGCCAGCCUCCUCGCCAGCGGCAGACAUACACUAUCUAAAUAAUGAAAUGCAUUAGGUAUUUGAAGGCGUACUCAGAGAAAGAGGCAGCGUCUUUUCUAGGUGACUAAGCUUUGCAUCCUUUGGGCAAACGGGAUGUAUUCAAAGGCUCGGGCUCAGAUUAAUGAGAACAGCACUUUAAAGGGUCUGGUAGAUCAUCUUUAACAAAAUGUGUUACUUUUAAAUGAAAACACAUAUUCUGGAUGUCUACUUCAAAACAUUUAGGGUAAAAAAAAAAAAAAGAUCUGAAAGUGGGAAACAGAUUACAAAGAAAAGUCUUGAAUUCAGAAAAUAUACUCAUACUCUAGAAGCAAGCAAAACUCUGGGAAAGUAAACAAUGUUUUAUAGAAAAAAAACGACCCAGAGGACAAGGGACACAGGGCAGCCUCUCGGGCUAUUUCUUACCCUUAGCUCACAUCUCUGAUCUCUGCAUCACAGGAAUGCUUCCCCUCAUUCCUUUAUAGAAUGGGUUUUUCCCCCCUUUUCACUAUCCAAGGGCUGGGACCACGAGCCCCUUCUUAGGUACCUUCUUUCACAUUUGAGGAAAAGAACAUCGCAGACCAACAUGUCAAGCUAAAACAAAAGCAGCCACUUAAACAUUGCUCAGUGCUCCAGUAAGUUUCCUAGCUGACCCUGGUCAAAAUUCACUUUUUUUUUUAAGCCUUUUUUUUUUUUUUUCCCCCAACCCAGGGGACAAUACUCCAGCCCAGCAGUUCACAUGCUGAUAUCAGACUGAAUGAUGGCUGUGAAUCAUAAAACAUGUCAUCAGCUUUAUACCAGGCCACCAAUAACCUUUGCGCCAUUUGCCGACCCUCCUCUUUCUCCGUCAGUGCAAGGCUUACCUGAUUGUGUUUCCAAUUACAGAGAAGGGGGCCCCAGCUCUGCAAGCUGCAAUCGCUUCAUCUCUACACCUCCUGGCAACCUCCACUAACUUCUUACCACUUUCAUCCACAUUGCCCACCAGAAAGGUUUCAGAGGUGUCUCCAUGGUAGCCAUUGUAAUAGACCUAAACACAGGCACACAUUUUACGGUACAUCCUUUUUUGGAAUUCUAUUCUUCUAAAGUCUAUAUCCUGUUUAUGUAUUCAGUAAAUGAAUUACCUUCUCAGAGUUGGUCUCAAGUUCUCAUAUUAAUUAAAAACCACCAUUUCUAAAAUUUAAAAGCUGAAACCAUGUGAUUCUACAACAUCUAAAAACAAACGAAUGACCAGCUCGGCUUCCUCAGCUUUGGGAUUAGUAAUGCUAUUGUAACAUUCUGAUCCCUCAGUUUAUUUGGGAGAAAGCAAAAACUACACUUGGAAAAAUUAGUUACUAAAUACAUUCACCUACAAUUACCACAGUGGGUUUAGAAAAUUAAGUAUUUAACAUACUAAAGCAUGUCCUCGGUGUCAUAAGGAUCUGCGUGCUCUUUUAUUUAUCGGCUGGCUGUACCCUUAGAAAUGAUACACAAUGGCAAGAAGAAAUAAGACCGACACGUCAGCAUCAUAACGGUGAGCAGGAGAAUUUCAAGCUAAGGACGGAAGCGGCUCAAUACAGUAAGGAAACAUGUUACAAAAAUUCUACGUCUGAAACUGGAAUUCGAAUCAAAUGUUUCAGAAAGCAUGAUGGUAACCGGAAACAUUUCGCACGAAUUUUUAAAGAAUUAGAACAUAUCAAAGCAAGCUGAGGGGUAAAACCACAGAAAGAUAAUUUUCUCAGUCUUUGGUGACGCAGAAGCGCCAUGUGAUCUUGAACAACAUCAGGCUCGCCAUGCAAACCCAAUGAUUAGCAACACCAAAGUACAUGUAGGAGACAGAGGACACUGGUUGACUAUUGAUCCUUGGACAUGGCGUGGCAUUUACUAUUUUGCAUAAAUUUAACCCAUCUAAUUAUCUUCACAGUUCUCCUUGUCUUAAGGUGGAACACAGAGACUAUGAGAAGAUCUGUUUAUUUAAGCUAUGUCUGAAUUACGGUCUCAUGCAAUAAAGACAUGCUGUCCUGGGCAGGAAGAAGACAACACCAAAAGGCUUCUCAGAGACCUCUGGCUUUUAAGUCAGGAAACUGAGGCAUAGAUACACAACGUGUUUGGGUUCCUGGCAGAGCACAGAGGUAUACCCCAACCAGUCUGCUAGACUGAUGGCUUCUUAAUCCCCCCACAGUGCAGUCAUGCUUGCUAAUUUAUUCCCACUUAUAUUUCCUUACAGAAAAAUGUAAGCUUUUGUCAUAUGCAAGAAUUUAUAAUUAUGUUAAUAUAAGUGUAGUUAUUCAAGAAAUGUAACUGCAUGUUGUUAAGUAAAAUAUAUUGUUUAAAUUCAUU